rnacentral:lncRNA from 1 species
AGUGUCGGUCGAGGGAGACCAAAAACAUAGAGUGACAUUGAUAAGGGAUUGCUUAGCUAUAGGACGAAACUUGAAAAAGUUCCAAUUGUCCAAGAGACCAUUCUUUCCUAGAUAGAUGAUUUUUGCUGGAAAAUAUGGUCCGACCAAUGGUUUCUAAGGUCACAUUAGGUUAGCCUGGGCCGAUGAUAGUUGGGUUCUUCCAGAGUGAACCUUAUUAUUGGGCUUCCCAUAUAGAAAAGUAUCCUUGGGAUGACAAGGAAAAAUAUAGGAAAAAGGUUCGGAUACAUUAUAUUUAAAAAUAAGAUGAAGCAUAUGGAGACCGAAAGAAUCUCGAAUCAAUACCUGAGGGUCCUCAGAUCGUAAAAACCCAAAAUGCUCAAGUUCUUUUAUCUCUGACAAGCAAUAGCUUGAAGUGCAAUGAGAUCCUAACUCAUCUUGGCA